CCGCCUGACCGCGACGCGACGCGAGCGUGCUGAGCGCGCGUGUGAGCGGAAAAUGGGCGAGAGCUCUUGCAUGAAAUAGAACAUCGGGGCAAGUUGUCACAUACUUCACCCUAUGAACUUCAUCUUAUUUCAGAAAAAAUCCAGACUCAGGCAACCCUUUUCCAAUUUUCGAUUGUCCAGUUUUGGUGAGCCCAUGUGAAUUAUAUUGAGCUGCUGUAGCCCAGAGAUCCCUCAGAACAUCCUCUGUAAACCCUCGAGAUGGUUGUGCAUAAAAAUACCAGCAGAUCCGCAAUUCCUGAAAUUAGAUCUGCCGGUCUGGUCAUGCCACAUUUAAAGUCACCUGAACCAGCUUGACCAUGUAGUUACUUCUGUGUGAUUGGCUGAUUAACGAGCAGCUGAACAUGUGUUCCUAAUAAACCAAGUUGCAGGAGAGUGUGUAUAAACCACGGAUGUUCCUGACUCUCAGUAAAUGCAUAUCUAGAGUUGUACA